UUGGUAGAUAGGUGAUAAUCAAAUGUCCGAGAGUGCUGUAUUUAGUAAACCCAUUUCGUUCCUCUCCACAGUUUAAUUAUAUGGGCACAGCAGGGACGGAGAUGAAAUGAAUAAGCCUCACAAGUUAAUAGCAGUAUUAUGAAGGAACACUCAUCUGCUCAGCAUCAAAAACAGAGUCCAGAGACCAGUUCCCUGAUCACAAACAAGUUAGAACUGUUUCGUCAGCUUCCUUGGAUGACUUUGGAAAUCCCUGAAUUCUUGUGUGUCCUCAGAGAUGUGGACUUUGAAGACAGCCUCUGCUCCCUUUCCCUGUUGAUCAAAGACCCAUGGAGCACUACAUUCCAAACAGGCUUGAACUUCAGAAAUGGAUUUCCUUGUGCUGUUUACACUGGCUCCUCACUGUAA
rnacentral:lncRNA from 1 species